CUCAGAACCCUUAGAAGGAGUAACCUUGUCAAUAAUUUGAUCUUGGAAGUCUAAUUUCCGGCACUGAGGAGACUGUGGUGCCCUCCAGCUGCAGCAGGAUCUUGCUAAAGUAAGUGCCUCUGGGACCAAAUUUCAGCUCAUGGGACUGGAACGAUGGAUAAACCGCUCUGCCAUCUUCCAGGAGAAGAGCAGCAGUUUCCACCAUGCUGAAAACAUGCUGAACUCCUUUCUGGGCUGAUUGCAACUGGAUCGGAAUGGUCCAGCUUCUUGUAAAUUCUCACCAGCAGUAUUACAAUGAGGGAUUACGGGUCUGCUUUCAAGUCUGCCUUAAAUGCCUGAUUUGCACUAAAGGAAAAGAAAAUCCCCUGACCUAACUAGUACAUCAGAAAGAAGAAUGAAGUAGAAAUUUUGGCUGUAGGGCCAUUCUAGUUUGUCAUUUUGUGAAAUUAGAGACAGAUGGGUGCUUUCUGUGUUGUGGGAAAUUCUGUCCUACAUUCCAGCCAAUGCUGGGAGUUCUGGAAGAGGACAGAGAGGGGAAGGAGAAAGCUAUUUGGACAAGGAAGAAUAUAUGC